rnacentral:rRNA from 1 species
UACGUAGGGUCCAAGCGUUAUCCGGAAUUACUGGGCGUAAAGAGCUCGUAGGUGGUUUGUCGCGUUGUUCGUGAAAACUCACAGCUCAACUGUGGGCGUGCGGGCGAUACGGGCAGACUUGAGUACUGCAGGGGAGACUGGAAUUCCUGGUGUAGCGGUGGAAUGCGCAGAUAUCAGGAGGAACACCGGUGGCGAAGGCGGGUCUCUGGGCAGUAACUGACGCUGAGGAGCGAAAGCGUGGGGAGCGAACAGG